UGCAGGGAAGAGUUUUAUUUAGCAGCUUCGCUUCGCUUUAAUCGGCCAAGGCUGCGUGCGAAGGCGUAUUCCCCUUCUACGUCUGUCCUCACAACUGCCCUGCGAGGACUGGCCCAAGAGAUUUUGUCACCUGAGGGAAACCACAAAAUGGCGUCUUCCUGCUGCCAGCCAAGAAGGGUGAAGCCCAUUGCAAUUUGAUGUUCCCCACUGUUGGCUUCAAUACUUCAUGGAAUCAUAGAACUGUAGAGCUGGAAGUGACCAUGAGAGUCAUCUAGUCCAACACCCCUGCAAUGCAGGAAUCUUUUCUCCAGUGUGAGGCUUGAACCCACUAUCCUGAGAUUAAGAGUCUCAUGCUAUCCCUCAGUGUCUUGAAUCAACAUAUUCUGAUUCAGACUCCAGAAUUUGUAGUUGAUGAAGAGAGAACGUUUCAUUUCUAACUGGAAACUAGCUGCACAAAGGCAAUGGAUAAUUAGGGAGGAUAACAGUCCAGAGAUAGCCAGAGAUUAAUGCUACAAAUUUCACCUCAGUGCAUGCUGAAAAAACUACAGUCAGUUCAUGUUGGCUUCUGAAUACACUGAAUACUUGCAGGUCUGUUUUCCUAGUUGUUAGGACUAAACCUGCCUAUUCAUUGCCCUACAGUCCUCUGUGGAAAGUCAGGAAGUCCUUAAAGAAUAUUCUAGAGUCCAUAAUCCAAGAACAUGAGCUUUGGAAUUUGGAUAGCUUUGAGGUUUUUUAAUCUGUUUCAUUCUGGUGUAAGGGAGAUUUGUCUGGCAUCUUCAUUAUAUAUCUUGAGGUGCCUCUUCAACCUGGCGUUGGCUGAUUAACAUUCUACAGCCUUUUAAAUGUUUUUGCGGUGCGUGUGUAUUAUUGUGUUGUUUUGUUUUAACUAUUUAUUUAUGCUUUUACUUUAUAUUUUUAUCUUGUGAAGUGCCUUGAGAUCUUGUGAUGAAGGGUAGUACUGUAUUUUUUGCUCUAUAGGACACACUUUUUCCCCUCUAAAAAUUAAGGGGAAAUGUGUGUGCGUCCUAUGGAGCGAAUACAGGCUCCUUGGCUUCAGCGAUAGCAACGCGAAGCCUCCGAAGUGCAGAGGGAGCGCUCCCAGUCCAACCAGGAGAUGCUGGGGACUGAACUGAUGCCUUCUGCAUGCUAAGCACUUGUUCUACCACUGAGCUAUGGCCCUAGCUCACAAUAUUGCUGUCAGGAUAAAAUGGAGAAGGUGGAGGCUGAAGUGUGUAUGCUCUGUGGAGGAAAGGUGGGAUAGAAGCAUAAGAAGGAAUAAAGUGUGUAAACUAGCCUAUAAGUGAAUAAACUACAGUAUAUUUUUAACUUACUCUCCUAAUAAUUUGUAUAUAAAUUAUAAAAGUGGUAUAUAAAUUUUGUUAAAUAAAAAAAGAGGAAAUGUUCAGACUUUCAAACAGUAUGUUAUGCCUGAGCCUUCAUUGCUGAAACUCCCAACAGCAUUUUCAUGCUCACAAACACCUGAUGAAGGAACCAUUGUGACAUCACCCAUUCAAGCAGAGUGAAGGGGCAACAGGCUGUCAACAGUGGCAGUAGUUGGGGGCUCCCAUCUACUCAAAAGCCACAGAAAGUCUUUUCAUACUGCCUGAGGAAUUAAUCCCUUAUUUAACAUUCAUAAUUGCUGGAUCGAUUUAACAGGACUGGAGCUAACAUUUGCUUGGAUUUAGCACCAUUGAUAGGGAACUGCCUGCUGCAUCCUCUGCUUUGAAGUCACCCUGGUCUUUGGGCCUCCAGCACGUUCUUCAGCAUGUCCAACCCAUCUAAGAGGCGUAUGAUACUGGUGUUCCACUGGGUUAGGAAGAAGCCCCUGACAGAGAAGCCGUGCUCUACCAUCUCGGCCAGACCUUCUGCCUCUACACCGGCUUGCAACACUCCUCACAUUUCACCCUACUUCACGAGGAGCAAGACACAACCCGCUCCGUUCAGGAGGUCCAGCAGGCACAAGGUGCUGCGAUUGCCGAAUCUCACCGACCCCAAGUUUUUAAGAUCUGUCAUUGACAGCGUUGGCCGGAAGAGAGCCCGCAGGCGUGGCAAGCAAAAGAAGACUCCAGCGGGAACAGGAAAAGGGGUGAGGGCUAGGCUAGAGGCAAGAAGGCUCCAAAGCUAUUUGCGGGGUGGGAUUGCUUU